rnacentral:rRNA from 1 species
GUGGGGAAUCUUCCGCAAUGGACGAAAGUCUGACGGAGCAACGCCGCGUGAGUGAUGAAGGUCUUCGGAUUGUAUAGCUCUGUUAAUCGGGACGAAAGAGCCUAGUGUGAAUAAUGCUAGGAAGUGACGGUACCGGAAUAGAAAGCCACGGCUAACUACGUGCCAGCAGCCGCGGUAAUACGUAGGUGGCAAGCGUUGUCCGGAAUUAUUGGGCGUAAAGCGCGCGCAGGCGGAUCUGCCAGUCUGUCUUAAAAGUUCGGGGCUUAACCCCGUGAUGGGAUGGAAACUACAGAUCUAGAGUAUCGGAGAGGAAAGUGGAAUUCCUAGUGUAGCGGUGAAAUGCGUAGAUAUUAGGAAGAACACCAGUGGCGAAGGCGAUUCUCUGGACCAUAACUGACGCUGAGGCAUGAAAGCGUGGGUAGCAAACAGGAUUAGAUACCCGUGUAGUCC